ACCUGGCUGGCUCGGUUGGUAGAGCAUGAGACUCUUGAUCUCAGGGUCAUGGGUUCGAGCCCCACACUGGGUA